rnacentral:lncRNA from 1 species
AACUCACGCUUACACACUGAGCCGCAUGCUACCCCACUCUUGUGUCCUAAUUUACCACAAUCAACCAUUUCAUUGUUCUUUCUCCAUCAUCUUUUCCUAUGGCAUAUUUCCUCUUGUCUCCAUAGUCAUUUUUGGUUAAUUAUUCAAUUAUCCUUCAACCAUAGUAGAUCAUUGCCCUUCCAUAUUUGGGUAAGUAUCUUUUUCACCAAGACCCAUAAUGUUCUUCUUCAACAGAAAAUACAAAUUUUUUUUUGAAAAUCUCUGUAAGAAAAUCUCCAAGGCAAAGAUUCAAUUUCAAACGGCUAUCUUAGAGCCCUAAAAUUCACAAUCCCGCCUAAGAAUAUUAACCCUCGUUUGCCUCUAUAAUACUCACAUUUGGGAGAGUUUGAAGGCAAGUUCUGAACCGCCGGUCACCUCCCUCACAUCUGUUCCCUUUCCUUCAAAUACUUCUAAUCUCAAACUCGUUACUCGAAAAACAACCCAGUUUUUUUCUAAUCUCUUUUUCGUUUCUGUUCGGCUUUGAGGCAUAAAAGAACAAAAAUCUUUCGGUAUUUGCUCGCCGAAGUUGAAGUCGAUUUGUUGACCCGAGACCUGCUAGGCGCACCUCACUUCACUGCUCCGAAGAAGGUUAGUGACUUUGGAUCUCUUCUUCCCUCUUCUUUCAAAGCAUGAGCUAUUAGUUGUUUUAUUUUUGUGUAUCAAAGUCAUGGUUUAGGAUUUCUUUUACUUGGUUAUGUAUUCUGGCCGGGUUAAUUUAAAUGAGAAUGCUAUGUCUCUGAUUAAUUAUUGACAUGAAUCUGUCUCUUAAAGGAAAAGAGAAUAUUGAGAAGACUUAGAUAUCCUGAAACUGAUUGAGUUAUUAAAAUAUGUUAGCACAUCUGUGUUAUUCAAAAUUUGUUUUGGCACCAUGACUGAAGGACUAUAUGAUGCUUAAAUGUUUCCUUGUCUAUAUAUUGAGAAUCUCAUAUGGUUCAAAUGUUAAUCCGAAGUCAUGAAAUUUGCCGUUAACUCUUGUAUGUUAGUAAGGAUCAUGUACAUAGUUGUUUAUCUAUGUAGGCUAGUUUUGGAUGGAAAUUUGUGUUAAUAUUUUCUCUUGUCUAUACAUGAAAUACCAUGAUUUAGCUACUGUCCAUAUUAGAAAGUAUGUUCAAAGACUCUUUUAUUACGAGAUUGUAGAAAUUAUGUCCAUAAGAAUUGUGUUCUCAAUCUAAGUGCUCAUAAGAAUGUCGAUUUCUCAUAUUUAAUAUGUUAGCUAUUGUCACAUGUUUCUUGAUCUGGAAACUAUGUUCAUAGGAUAUGCUUAUCCAAAUAACCAUUUUAUAAUCUAUAAGAUGCUCUAAUUUCCAACUGAACUUAACAAAAGGAAAUACUUUUUGAAUGACUUUUGUAAUCUGUAAACCAUGCCGACAAAUAAAUAUGGAGAUUGUUUAAUUUAUCAAAGAAUGAAAUCCCUUGGGGCUACAGUUGAUUUGCUAGGUGUUGGAAAGAAUAUUAUAUUCUGCUGAUGUGUCAUUCCUUUUGCAUGAUAAAAUAUGACUUUGACCUAAUUUAAAGAUUAGAUGCCAUGUGUUCAGAUUUUUUUUCUUCUGAAAUUGAAAUAUGCCUAUAGUAAAAAAGAAAAUAAAAAUCUCUAUUAAAAUAACUGAUAAUUUUAAUAAAUUUUUCUUCAGCUAAGUAUUAGCAUUUAUAUUAGUCUAAAGGGGCCUUAAGAAAUAUAAGAUAUUCUUUUUGUAGUUCACACGUUAGAUUUAGAUUGAUUAAGAUCUGCAAGACACAUUUUAGGAUGUUACAUAUAUGAGCACAUGAUUUUUGCCUCGCUAAAAUUACUUCUAUAUAAUUCUUCGAAUUAAGAUUUUUACUUUUAUUAUUUAAUUUUUAGGAUUUAAUUGCCUAUUUUUAUGUGUAUUUUUAUUUGUGCGUGCAUGAUAAGUCCUAAAAAAUACAAAAAUUACGUGAGCAUUUAGGAUGUGAUUUUUACAUUAUUUUUUAGACUAAUUAGUAAUUAGGCUUUUUACAAAAUAUAAAAAUCACAAAGAAACUUUGAUUUGUUUGGUUUUGAUUUUAAUUUCCUUUAAAGUAAUAGUAGUUUAAUUGUAAUUGGGUAGAUUGAAUAAAAUUUUCAGAUUUAAUUUUAGUUUGAUUUUUAAUUGAAACAAUAAAUAAACAAUGGAUAAAUGAAAAAGAAUUAAAGAAAAAGAGGUAUAAAGUAGGCUGGCCUGAUAUUGGGCCAAAGCUGGAUGUGACCCAAAUUCAAAUCUUGAUGAAGUUGAAAAAUGUCAAAAAUUACGUGCGCAUUUAUGUGACGUGGUUCGCGACAAGUUUCAGCGGCAUUGCAAAUUUCUUUAAAAACGGUAUAAGUAUUAAAAUUGCAUUUUUAGGAUGAUAAUGUGUAAAAUCAGAGUUUAUAGUCAUUUAUAAUAGUUUAAGCGACCGUACUAGAACCACGAGAUCCGAGGGUGCCUAACACCUUCCCUCGGGUCAACAGAAUUCCUUACCUAAAUUUCUGGUUCGCAGACUCCAUUUGGGCAGUCAAAAAAUUUCCUUGAUUUGUGAUUCUAAAUACACCGGUGACUUGGGAGACCAAAAGCCAAACCUAUCCCAAGUGGCGACUCUAAAUAAAUAAUCCCAUUUCGAAUAAUGUCACUUUAAUUGGAAAAACUCCCUUAUGUGUUUUUUUAUCCUUCGGGGUAGCCGUGUAAAAAAAGAGGUGUGACAGCUCUAGCGACUCUGCUGGGGAGCGAACCCAGAAUCUCUGGUUUAGAGUUCAAGAAUUCGAGUUUACAAUAACUGUUAUAUUUGGCUUCUUCUGAUUUUCUUACAUGUUCUAUGCUAAGUGUUAAAUGUUUUACUGCUUUGAUAUUAUCUGAAUUGUACAUAUAAACUGCUACGAAUCCCUUCACUUCCCCCCUCCGGGAUGUGCUUACUAGUUGAGACCCCCUAUUCUAUUAGUUUCAUACCUGAAAAUAAGAAAGAGGCCGGACAAGUUACUAAGCCGGAUGGCCUUUUAGUUCCCGGUACGUUGCCCCCUCCUCGACUCGAGUUGUCCGCUCGGGUACACAGUCUAGACCCCAUACCAAGGUUUUUAACUUAGAAUAACUUGACCUCAUGCUGGAUCCCUAGUAGGAACGCGUAUUUGCAUCAUGCAUUUGACUUAGCGGACUCAACACAGGGGUUGGGUCCGUCUAGGACAGGUGACCUGAAGUAAAAGACCAUCCUGAUGCAUUUUACGUACUACUUGUGCAUUUAUUCGCCUUGGAGGGACUCAACAAAGGGGUUGAGUCCGUCUAGGACAGGUGACCUGAAAUAAAAGACUAUCGUGAUGCAUUUUACGUACUACUUGUACAUUUAUUUGCUUUGGAUUUGCAUGUUGACUGGAUUGUGAAUAAGGAGAGUAAAUUGAGAAAAUAGCAGUGUUAGGGUGACCACUUAUCUUGUAAAACCCAUGCUCAAAUAGCAUCGAAAUGCUGGAGGAUCUUCAAAAAACAAAACAGCAAAAAAAGAAAAAAGAAAAGGGGGCUUUUCAAUAUUGUUUUGGUUUACAAAGAUUGUUUUGCCCAAACUACGCCGGUUUGAUUCUCAUCAGGUACGAGAUACGUAGGCAACCCCCAUCGAGUCCAACCUCCUUUUUGCGAAAAUAACAAAAACAAAUGUCCAAUUUUACUUAUUCUCUUAAAUAAAUCGAGUGAUGCCCUUACUGCCAGAAAUAGCCGAAUGUUAUCGAAAGGGACGCCGGAAGGCUGAUUUCGCACAAAUGGCCACCUUUGAGUCUUAUUUUGGCCGGUGAACGAGCACAGCCUUAAAAUCUUCCUUUGGAAGUGCUGAAAGGCCAUAUUCGCAAAGCUGGGCCCUGAUUUCGACAAUUAAAUUUCCUAAAAGAAAGAGGUUAGUUUUAAUCUUUUGUGGAGUCAAGUAGGACAAAAUUUUGAGAUACUAAUUCACCCUAAUAAAUGUACAGAAUGAGAACAGAUCAGUAUUUGCUGAUAACAUUCAUGAACAAAAUUCCCUCGGAGCUACACAUGUGGUGGAAUGACCGGGGGAAGCGGGGCAAUACAGGGUCAACAUGUAUUUGGGAGGACUUACUUGGUUGCUGAAAUUAACCUGAGGGGAGAUAUCGUAAAAGCACUAAUCACAUUCAGGGACCCGGCUCACAAUGUAUUCUAUUUAUCUGAUUUUGAACUCACACCGACAUUAGAUGGAUAUAUUGGGACCCUUACGAUUCCCCUUAGGCACCAAUACCUGAUUGCGCCAAGAGCCCUAGCCGUGCACAUAUUUCUGGAUUCCUUAAAAAUCAAUAGGAAGAUUCACAACCCAGAUCUGUCAGCCGGCUUCUGUACCCCGCAGUUUAUAUAUCAGAGGUACGGGCAUAUAGAGGGAUUCAGUAACCCGGAAAACCAUAUUUGUAGCAAAGGAAACCAACUCAAAUGGGAGGAGCAUCGAUGUUUNNNNNNNNNNNNNNNNNNNNNNNNNNNNNNNNNNNNNNNNNNNNNNNNNNNNNNNNNNNNNNNNNNNNNNNNNNNNNNNNNNNNNNNNNNNNNNNNNNNNNNNNNNNNNNNNNNNNNNNNNNNNNNNNNNNNNNAUAUGGUUUUCUUCUUGGGUCUUGUGGUGUUUCCGCGGAAGGAUGGAAAUAUUGAUAUACGGAUAGCAGGGGUCGUCAGCGCUUUACUAACCCAGGCCAAAACACCCCCGCUCCUAUGAUUUUAUCCGAGAUCUUCCGUGCUCUCACCGCCUGUAAAGCGGGAGGAGACUUCUUUGAAGGAUGUAACCUGUUGUUACAUAUAUGGAUGAUCGAGCAUUUAUGCCACUGGCCUCGGUUCAUGAAUUAUGGGUCACCAACAAAGAGCUGAUAGAAGAAUUCUGCAAUAGGGUUGAUAAGUUUAGGUUACCUAGGGGUGUCACAGAAUUAGUGUCGCAUCUCCGGGAUGUCACUGUAAAUAAGAUAGAAUGGACAUUCGGGUGGCUCCCUGUGGAUGAAAUUGUGUAUAUGCCAGCCACUAGGCCUCAUUUCCUUUAUAUGGGUCUCCGAAGUAUCCAACCCUAUGCGCCAUAUAGAGUUCUAAGGCAAUUGGGUAGAUGCCAAAUGAUUCCCAGGGACGAGGAUAUUAGCCACCAUGCGGUUGAGAUUAGCCCCAAUGGUCAAUUCCCUGACCGUCUGUGUCAAAACUGGAGCGAAUGUUAAUACUUGACAGCGAGUACCCGAGUACGCGACAUAUCUGAAGGUAAGGUUUCACCGGGAUACAUUUCUUGGUACAAAAAAGAAAUAGAGCCCGUAAGGCCAGCUAAAAGAUCGCAUCUCCAAGAAUUUGUUGAAACGUCACAAGAGCAAUGGGAUUGGCUAGCCAAGGAAACUGAAUACAGGGCCACCAUAGGAAGAUUGGAAAAGUAAGCCAAAGAGCUACAAUUUGAAAAUUGUUUGCAAGCCGCAGCAUAUGAGGGAGAAAAGAAAAGAUUAACCAAAGAAAACAAGGCGUUGCGAGCCCAAAUUCAGAAAAUGAAAGCAGGAGCGCAAAGUCCUCCCAGGAGCGGGAAGGAUGAAAAACUCAUAGAGAAUUUGAGGCGAAAGGUAACCGAGUAUGGGUUUGACUUGAAAAGGCGGAAGGCGAACUAUCCAGGGUUCGGAAACAAUUAGCUAAAAGUGCGGAGGAACGAGCCCGCAUCCUCAUGCAUAAUGAUGAGAUUGCUGGAUUGAAAUUUAGGGUCAUCAUGGCUGAGAACAGAGUCGCCAAGCAAGUGGAGGACUUCAAAGCCGAGAGAGAACAUUGUUAUGCAGUGAUAGAAAGGUUGGAGAUGGAUUUGCGGCAAUUCCAAGAACUGAUCAGGUAGCAGAGCAAACUUUAGAGGCAAUGGCCGAGCAAAUUGGGCGGUUGUUGUAAGAAAAGGGUGUUGUUAGGGAAAGGGUACGGGCGAUCGCUGACUACAUCACCACAAAGUGCAACCAUUGCGAGGACAUGACAAGAUCCAUGUUCUUUGCCACUGCCAUGACCUUUGUCCGGCAAGUGAUAGAGGACCUCCACAGUCUCCAAGGGAGUUUAGCACGCAAGCCUGCGGCAAGGCCCAAUGAUGCCCCGCGAGCUCCAAGAGCAGUUGAAGUCUUUAUGUAUUCAUGAUUUUUGAAAAUUGUAUUUUUCCUUAAAAGAGUCUGCUAGUCUGUAUUUUCUUUUAUGCAUUAUUACUCUUUGAGUAUGUAGUUCUUAGUAUGUACGAGUCUGUUAGUUGCCUUUAUAACUCUGCCAGUCUUUGUAACCAAAGCUUUAUAAGAAUUGAAAAUUCCAAAAAAAAAAUCUUGUUAUUUUUAUUUCACUUCUCAUGAACUGCACUCGGUCUGAUUUAUGCGGGGCAUGAUACGUAGUCAAUCUUCAUAGGAUUCGAUCGUAUUCUUAAAAAGGGGAAAACCAAAGCAAGGAAACAAAGAGUGGAAAUCAAAAGGAAGUUUGGAAUAAACGCCGGGAUGACGCACGCGACUAUUGCAAGCAUAUUGACACCCGUUAACUGUAUAGGUGCAUCACACCAAACGUGCGAUUCCUUGUAUGUUAUCUGUCUCAAACUAACCAUUUGUUUGAUAUCACUCCAGUUUCAGGCUUUCGAAACACUGGCUGGGUUGUGGUUUUCUGGCAUCAUAUCGAUAUUUUACCAGAUCAAAAGGAAGCGCAGAAAUGUCAUUUGAAAUGACUUUGCCGAUAGUUCCCAUCUCAGAGGAUAGCCCGAUUGCAGGUAUCCCGGCCUCAGAAUCUGCGGCAGCUGAAAAAAAUAGGAUCCUACGACUUAGAGUCAUGGAGAUAUAGGAUGCUUGGACGAAUGGAAAAGAGCCUCCGAGCGCCAUCCCUGGAUUUAAUGAGCUCUUCC